UUUCUCAAGUGACGUCAGUUAGAGGCGGCAUCAGCAGCGGCGUGGGGAUUUAUUUGUUUGGCCCGAGGCUGAGAAGGAGUCUGCGGGUUGGGGUCCUGCGAGACGAGCCUAUUUCUAGCGCUAUCACUCUGUCGGCUGCUGACAGCGCCCGCCGUUUUUCCUGACGUGCCGCCACCAUCUUUGUGCGAGUGAACUCUCACUGCCCGGAAUCUCUUACCAAGGGUUGGGUCGUACUCCCAGAUGAAGCGUCGAGUCAAAAACCUCACCACCAACGCUGCAA